rnacentral:rRNA from 1 species
UACGUAGGGUGCGAGCGUUUGUCCGGAAUUAUUGGGCGUAAAGAGCUCGUAGGCGGUUUGUUGCGUCGGCCGUGAAAACUUCACGCUUAACGUGGAGCUUGCGGUCGAUACGGGCAGACUAGAGUGUGGUAGGGGAGACUGGAAUUCCUGGUGUAGCGGUGAAAUGCGUAGAUAUCUGGAGGAAUACCGGUGGCGAAGGCGGCAUCCUGGACCGGCAUUGACGCUGAUGAGCGAAAAGCUAGGGGGAGCAAACAGGG